rnacentral:rRNA from 1 species
AAAGAUUAAGCCAUGCAUGUCUAAGUAUAGGCAAUUAUACCGUGAAACUGCGAACGGCUCAUUAAAUCAGUUAUCGUUUAUUUGAUAGUACCUUACUACUUGGAUAACCGUGGUAAUUCUAGAGCUAAUACAUGCUGAAAACCCCGACUUCGGGAGGGGUGUAUUUAUUAGAUAAAAAACCAACGCCCUUCGGGGCUUCUUGGUGAUUCAUGAUAACUUCACGGAUCGCAUGGCCUUGCGCCGGCGACGGUUCAUUCAAAUUUCUGCCCUAUCAACUUUCGAUGGUAAGGUAUUGGCUUACCAUGGUUUCAACGGGUAACGGGGAAU